GUUGGUCUUCGUGAAUCAACAUAGCACUGAGGAAUUCAAGAGAGCAAACGAAAGGAAUAAGUCAAUCGGUCCAAGCUAAAAGGACCUGCGUGUCUUGGGAGGAACAACAUGGCUGUUAUUCGCCAUCAGAUGGCGAAGGAGAGGAAUCUUACCUCUAAUGCCGAGAUAGGUAGAUGUGAUGUUUACUUAAGAGCCCAUACAAGUAAGGACAAAGUUGUCCAGCAUCCUGACCUUGUUGAAAAAUUAGAUGAGCUUUAUUCUAGAAAUCCUUCUUCUAAGAUUACCGACGUUAACGAUGCCCUUACACAG